UAAAUAAAAAUAUUUCCCAUUCCCAGUAGCAUUUUUAUUGCUAGGGGAUAUUGGAAAUUAGGCUUCCUUGUCAGUUACAUCUGUAGAAAUGGGAAAGAUACUGUGAAUGAUUUUUAAUUCUCUUCCACAUUAUUUCCUCUCCUAGUCUAUGCAUCCUAAUUCUAGGAACUUUGCCUAUUCCAAAACUAAAUUUUACUACUCAGCUGAUAAUUAACAAAAUUUUAGUGGAUUAUAUUCACUGUCUGUAGAAGAGUGAUUAUUUUCUUUGAGAAUUUGUCAACAACAGUGCAUAGAAAAUAUCUUUGUCUAAGAUAAACUGUUAUUGAAGCUCUAAUAAUUCUAAUAUUCUGAUAAUAUAGGAGUGGAAAGUUUGUAGAUGAAAUAUAUGAAAUUGCUAGUUUUGAGCAACAAAGAAAAUCUUUCUUAUAAAUUAUUCAAGUUUAAUUUGACAAGGUUCUUCUAUAUUGAAAAAAUCUUCCACCAUUCACUAAUCUUGUUUCUCUGGUGGGUCCUAUCAAAUGUCCAGAAAAACAGCUAGAUAGCACUGAAAAUGAGCAAAGCUUAAUAAUUCUUCCUACAAAAAUGACCUCAUGAAAAUGUAAUGUAUGUACAGGAUAUUGGAAGAUAACUUCUAUGGCAGCAUGUAGGUUUCAAAAUGGAAACAAGGAUAUUAAAUAGUACAUCAGAAAUAGAUUCAGAUGAAAAGUUUGAUUAUACAGUCUUCCUUAAAAAGUAAGAUAGAAAUGGAUAAAGAUUAGAUGGGGAAGUAAGGUAGAGGUGAAUGGAAAGAGAAAGGUUAAAUCAAAAGAAAACUUUUUAGAACUAAAUUAGUCUUUAUAAAUAAGAUGGUAAAAGGGCCCACAAUAUGCAGACAAGGAGAAAAAAGAAAAAAAAAAAAAAAGUAUAAAGUAUAAAAACAAAUCAUAAGUAAAUGGCAGCGUAGGAAGCCAGCUGCUAAAAUAAAAGUGAUAAUCUUACCCAGCAAUGAAAUGGUAACAGCUAUAAUUAA